AUGAACGCUGGCGGCGUGCUUAACACAUGCAAGUCGCACGAGAACGUUUCAGCUUGCUGAAACUAGUAAAGUGGCGUACGGGUGAGUAACGCGUGGGUAAUCUACCUCCGAAUUGGGGAUAACAUUGCGAAAGCGAUGCUAAUACCGAAUGAUAUCUCAAUAACUCCGGUCUUUGAGAUCAAAGGUGGCCUCUCCAUGGAAGCUACUGUUUGGAGAUGAGCCCGCGUACCAUUAGCUUGUUGGUAGGGUAACGGCCUACCAAGGCGACGAUCGGUAGCUGGUUUGAGAGGAUGACCAGCCACACGGGGACUGAGACACGGCCCCGACUCCUACGGGAGGCAGCAGCAAGGAAUAUUGGGCAAUGGGCGAAAGCCUGACCCAGCGACACCGCGUGGGGGAAGAAGGCCCUUGGGUUGUAAACCCCUUUUAUCGGGGAAGAAUAAUGACGGUACCCGAUGAAUAAGCCUCGGCUAACUACGUG
rnacentral:rRNA from 1 species